AUUUAUAUAGUUUAUUAAAACAUUACAUUUUCAAUGUAAAAAUAAAAAAUUUUUUAUAAAUA
rnacentral:tRNA from 1 species